UACGUAGGGGGCAAGCGUUGUCCGGAUUUAUUGGGCGUAAAGAGCGUGUAGGCGGCUUUACAGGUCCGUUGUGAAAACUCGAGGCUCAACCUCGAGACGCCGGUGGAAACCGUAAGGCUAGAGUCCGGAAGAGGAGAGUGGAAUUCCUGGUGUAGCGGUGAAAUGCGCAGAUAUCAGGAGGAACACCGGUGGUGUAGACGGCUCACUGGACCGUAACUGACGCUGAGACACGAAAGCGUGGGUAGCAAACAGG
rnacentral:rRNA from 1 species